rnacentral:tmRNA from 1 species
GGGGCUGCACCGGUUUCGACGUGGGUUCGGAGACGCAGCAGGGCAUGUCGAGGCUCAGUUCCCUCGUUAAUCCAGCUGAAACAAACCAACUGCGAACGACGAACGUUUCGCCCUCGCCGCUUAAUCGCGCGUGAGCCUUGCAACGGUUGGCCGAUGGGCCGGGCCAGGGUCGUAAGGUCCUGACUGCAAGGUAAUCUACAUUGGCUGGCUCCGCAUCGGGUACCUUGGUGCGGGGCGAGAAAAUAGGGUGCUGGCGGCUUCCGUAGCGUGCGACUGCGCGACGGGGGCGGCGAGAAACAAAACAGAUCGCUAAGCAUGUAGAACUGUUCGUUGAAGGCUUGCGGACGCGGGUUCAAUUCCCGCCAGCUCCACCA